UGGAAGUAAAAGUCGUAACAAGGUCUCCGUUGGUGAACCAGCGGAGGGAUCAUUACCGAGUUUACAACUCCCAAACCCAAUGUGAACCAUACCAAACUGUUGCCUCGGCGGGGUCACGCCCCGGGUGCGUCGCAGCCCCGGAACCAGGCGCCCGCCGGAGGGACCAACCAAACUCUUUUCUGUAGUCCCCUCGCGGACGUUAUUUCUUACAGCUCUGAGCAAAAAUUCAAAAUGAAUCAAAACUUUCAACAACGGAUCUCUUGGUUCUGGCAUCGAUGAAGAACGCAGCGAAAUGCGAUAAGUAAUGUGAAUUGCAGAAUUCAGUGAAUCAUCGAAUCUUUGAACGCACAUUGCGCCCGCCAGUAUUCUGGCGGGCAUGCCUGUCCGAGCGUCAUUUCAACCCUCGAACCCCUCCGGGGGGUCGGCGUUGGGGACCUCGGGAGCCCCUAAGACGGGAUCCCGGCCCCGAAAUACAGUGGCGGUCUCGCCGCAGCCUCUCCUGCGCAGUAGUUUGCACAACUCGCACCGGGAGCGCGGCGCGUCCACGUCCGUAAAACACCCAACUUCUGAAAUGUUGACCUCGGAUCAGGUAGGAAUACCCGCUGAACUUAAGCAUAUCAAUAAGCGGAGGA
rnacentral:rRNA from 1 species